rnacentral:tRNA from 1 species
GGGGAUGUAGCUCAGAUGGUAGAGCGCUCGCUUAGCAUGCGAGACAUCUUCA